GGGAUGCCUGGGCUCUCAGAGGCGAAGAAGGACGUGAUAAGCUGCGAAAAGCUACGGGGAGGGGCACAUACCUUAUAAUCCGUAGAUAUCCGAAUGGGGCAACCCGGCAUGUUGAAGACAUGUCACCUAGCAAUAGGGGUAAACCCGGUGAACUGAAACAUCUAAGUAACCGGAGGAAGAGAAAACAAUAGUGAUUCCGUUAGUAGUGGCGAGCGAACGCGGAUUAGCCCAAACCAAAAAUGUUACGGCAUUUAUGGGGUUGUAGGACUACAAUGUUCGAGUUGUAAUGAAUUAGAAUAGUUUGGAAAAACUAACCAAAGAGGGUGAUAGUCCCGUAUAAGUAAAGAGCAAUAAGAUAGUAGUAUCCUGAGUAGUGCGGGACACGAGUAAUCCUGUAUGAAUCAGUCGGGACCAUCCGAUAAGGCUAAAUACUCCUGAGAGACCGAUAGUGAACUAGUACCGUGAGGGAAAGGUGAAAAGAACCCCGGGAGGGGAGUGAAAUAGAUCCUGAAACCGUAUGC
rnacentral:rRNA from 1 species